rnacentral:lncRNA from 1 species
UUUAAUGUUAUUAUUACAAACCCAAAAUGUAUUUAAUAAAAAAGGGAAAAAGAAAGCAUAACCGAAAAACCAUAAAACACAGUCCUUGAUAACUCCAUAUCUCGAAAGCAUAUACCGCGUUGUCUCUCUCUCUCUCUGCGUCUGCGUGUUAUGCAAUAAUCGGCACUGUAGAAAGCGACGUCUUCUCUCUCUCUCCAAACUUUUCAAAAAGUUCCACCUCCUUCUUCUCAAUCAUUUCUUUCUCUCACUAGAAUUGUCUUCCAAUCCACGCCUCCAUCGAUUCGCAAUUCUCCCGAUUCUCGAUUUGCAUCUCAGUCCAUGUCCGAUUGGAAGAAUCAGGAAAUG